AAUACGUUCCCGGACCUUGCACACACCCGCCCCGUCAAGCCAUGGAAGCUGGGUGUACCUAAAGUCGGUAACCGCAAGGAGCUGCCUAGGGUAAAACUAGUAACUGGGGCUAAGUCGUAACAAGGUACCC
rnacentral:rRNA from 1 species